rnacentral:rRNA from 1 species
UCUCCCUGGAAAAGGGUGGUAAUGCCGGAUGCUCCAGUUGAUCGCAUGGUCUUCUGGGAAAGCUUUCGCGGUAUGGGAUGGGGUCGCGUCCUAUCAGCUUGACGGCGGGGUAACGGCCCACCGUGGCUUCGACGGGUAGCCGGCCUGAGAGGGCGACCGGCCACAUUGGGACUGAGAUACGGCCCAGACUCCUACGGGAGGCAGCAGUGGGGAAUAUUGCACAAUGGGCGCAAGCCUGAUGCAGCGACGCCGCGUGAGGGAUGGAGGCCUUCGGGUUGUAAACCUCUUUUAUCGGGGAGCAAGCGAGAGUGAGUUUACCCGUUGAAUAAGCACCGGCUAACUACGUGCCAGCAGCCGCGGUAAUACGUAGGGUGCAAGCGUUAUCCGGAAUUAUUGGGCGUAAAGGGCUCGUAGGCGGUUCGUCGCGUCCGGUGUGAAAGUCCAUCGCUUAACGGUGGAUCCGCGCCGGGUACGGGCGGGCUUGAGUGCGGUAGGGGAGACUGGAAUUCCCGGUGUAACGGUGGAAUGUGUAGAUAUCGGAAAGAACACCAAA